rnacentral:rRNA from 1 species
UACGAAGGGGGCUAGCGUUGUUCGGAUUUACUGGGCGUAAAGCGCACGUAGGCGGAUUGUUAAGUGAGGGGUGAAAUCCCAGGGCUCAACCCUGGAACUGCCUUUCAUACUGGCAAUCUUGAGUCCGGAAGAGGUGAGUGGAACUCCUAGUGUAGAGGUGGAAUUCGUAGAUAUUAGGAAGAACACCAGUGGCGAAGGCGACUUACUGGACACAUAUUGACGCUGAGGUGCGAAAGCGUGGGGAGCAAACAGG